CCUAGGUCAUUGUGGGUGCCUGGGCCCAUGCCCAACUCUGGGAGACCAAGUCAGAGCUGGGGAUGCUCCAUCAGAGCAGGCUGGAGGGCUCGGGGGAGAAUCCUGGGAAGGAAGGUCUGGGAGGGCUUCCUGAAGGAGGUGUUUGAAGUGGAGCCAGCCUGGAGGGACAGAGAGAGGAGAAAGGCCACUGGUCUGGUGAACUGCAUAGCAGAGAGAGAGUUUGUGUAGGAGCCGGUUACCAAGUGGAACAGGGUCAGACCAUGAAUGAGGAAGGGCAGCUGGGGGUAGAGAGUUAGUGUGGCUGGACACAGGAGCCACGGGAGCCAUGGGGUCUGUGGGUCUAGGAGGAGGCCCGGGGAGUUUGACUUCUGUAGCUGGACACCUCUGAGCCAGCACUGGUCUGGGAGGCAAAUGGCUCUCUCCCUGGGUGGGGCUUUCUCUUCUCUACCUCCCCUUUUCUGGCAGCUGCUUCUGCUGCUCAGGCUUCUCUUAGUUUCUCUGGGUUGAUCACCCGGGAAACCUGGGGAGGCAAGGAAGGAGGCAGUGAGGCCUUGGGGGAUAGACGGGCUCAGCCUGGAAUUCUGUUGGGAGCACAGAGACACACACUGAGUUGUGUUGCUAUGGGAGCUUGCCCAACACUUCCCAGAGGCAGAACUGGCCCUGGCUGGCCCCGGCCCAGCCCAUUUUCACCUUCCAGGUCGGUAGACUUGCUGUAAGACCUACGAACGGGUCACCCUGUCCCGCUUAGGGGCUAUCUCAGCCCCUAGAGACGAAGGAGUCCGGGAGGUGGGCUGGUUAUCGGGUGAUCGGUAGCAGGGCUUUCCUAACCUGAGCUGCUCUCCCUUCUCCCUCUUAUUUUCCCUCUUAUAUACACACACGCACGCGUGUGUGUGCACACACACGAUGGCGCAGGCUGAGUCAAUCAUUUGUGAAUUCGGUCAUCAUACAUUGGUGGAAUGCCUACCAGGCACCUCCUAAUGCUGUAGAUAUGGUGGUUAACAAGACAGCCAAAGUCCCUGUCCUCAUGGAACUUUACUUUUGGUGGAGAGAGGUCCCCUAAGUCUGCCCGAAUCCGUAAGAUAGGA